AUGAUUGCGACUGCAUGUCUUGGUUUGUCGCCCUCCCUCUGUCAUCUGCAGAAUAACUACAGGGAGUGUCUGACCCAAGGAGAUAAACUCAGGGAUUUGAAAGGUCGUCGCUCAUCCAGGUCUGCCACCACUUCACGGUUGAAUUUGACAAAGACCAGUCAGACCUCUAUCACCCCUCCCAAGUGUUCCAAGUUAUCUCAGGUCCCUGUCCCCUUCUCCUCCUCCUCUUCUCCCAAGAGGCUGGGGCAAAGCUCCUCAUCCUCAGCUAGUAACCUUAAGAGUCCCUUUAGCCUGAGUAUGUUCAGCUCUAAGGCUACUGCAAUUCACUGAGCCCGCGUUGAUCACUGACUUUUCACCUUUGACCUUCUGACCUUCCAGUUGACCCCAGGAGACAGGAGGUUAACCCCCUCAACCGCUGGAGAAAUGUGCACAAUUGUCUCUGUUAUAAAUGCACGUUAAAUGACAUUUAAUAAUACAACAAAAAAAUCGAAUCCACCCCUGAGACACUGUAAAAAUCCUCUUUGUAACAAUUGGAUUUCUAGACAUGAUCUCGUUUCAAUCAAUGUAAUUGUUUGAUUUCAAAAUGGGUUUGUUAUCAUUUUAAUUGUGUGCAAGGAGAUUCUUUAUCAUGGCUUUCUCUUUCUCUUAUUCAGUUAUUUAAUUAUCUAUUGUUUGAUUGACCCUGUAAAAGAGGACAUAUCCUACUGUACACUCAAUUGAUUCAUGAGUGGCUGUCUUAUGAAUGUUGUCGUUCAGGAGAUACAUUUGUUUUAUGUGAAUACAUAUUUGGAUUGUAGCAGAAGUGACUCUGGUUGAGCACUUUUUUUCUGACUUGUUUUUACGACUCUGUUGUUGACAGGCUUGAGACAAUUGUUUGUUUUAAAUAACUUUAAGUAGUAGGCCUGUAUGGUGUUUAUGGAGUGUAUUUCUGCAAACUUUGCAGAAAUACUAUUGGUACAUUGUCAUUUAAAUUUGAUUAAAAACAUUCCUUGUCAAAAUAAGUUGUCUUUCUCUGCAAAUGUGAUUUGACUCAUAAACAUGGCAGGUUAAGACACAUUUUUCGGCUUAUAUGAAUAUCUCCAACUCAGUAAGAUGGGGACCAUGUAUAGCAGUUGUAAGGGCAGGAAAUCAACAGAUGUCAAGGCAGAUUGAAGUGCUACCUUUUUUUAUUUUUUUUGUUUGCAGAUCUUGUGUUUACACAGUCAGCCCAAUUCUGAUAUUUUUUUCCCGCUAAUUGGUAUUUUAUGAUCAAUCAGAUUUCUUCACAAGAUGUUUUUCAGAAUUUAUCUGAUUGAUCAAAAUACCAAUUAGUGAAAAAAGUAUCAGAAUUGGGCUGCCUGUGUAAACGCAGCCUUAGUGAUCCAAUGGUGAAUAUGCCAUAGGCCUACUUGGCCUCAUACAUGACCAUACCAUUACCAAAUUGUAAACCAAUAAACUGGUUCUACAAUGUAAAAGGAAAUUUACAUAUACGUCUUUACUUUGAUACAUUUGUGUAUAUCAGAAAUAACAUCACAGUUCAUAAAUUGAACACUUUCAAUACUUUUCUCACAACUCCUAGUAACCUCCCUAGGCUUGGACUCCCAAAUGAGGAGCACAGGCCAUGU
rnacentral:lncRNA from 8 species